rnacentral:rRNA from 1 species
CGUACACUCCUACGGGAGGCAGCAGUGGGGAAUAUUGGACAAUGGGCGCAAGCCUGAUCCAGCCAUGCCGCGUGAGUGAUGAAGGCCCUAGGGUUGUAAAGCUCUUUCACCGGUGAAGAUAAUGACGGUAACCGGAGAAGAAGCCCCGGCUAACUUCGUGCCAGCAGCCGCGGUAAUACGAAGGGGGCUAGCGUUGUUCGGAUUUACUGGGCGUAAAGCGCACGUAGGCGGACUAUUAAGUCAGGGGUGAAAUCCCGGGGCUCAACCCCGGAACUGCCUUUGAUACUGGUAGUCUUGAGUUCGAGAGAGGUGAGUGGAAUUCCGAGUGUAGAGGUGAAAUUCGUAGAUAUUCGGAGGAACACCAGUGGCGAAGGCGGCUCACUGGCUCGAUACUGACGCUGAGGUGCGAAAGCGUGGGGAGCAAACAGGAUUAGAAACCCCGGUAGUCCCAUGAU